CGGUCCCUCCCUCUCGCCGGUAGUCGCCGGAGGCAGCCAAUCAGAAGCCUCGUUCCGCCGCUGGCCCAGCUGGUAGCGGUCCCCGCGCAGCCAGGGGCUGUCGUUCGCCGGGAGCUGUAGGUGCGGCGGUGGAGGGUGUGCGGGCAGGCUGGGACUCUGUGGUUAAGCCCCGGGCCUCUAGCGCCGCGAGUCUGAAUCCGAGCCUCGGCUUUCCACUCAGUAGCUGUGUGGCCAUGGGUAAGGCGUCCAUCCUCACUUUCUCCAUCUGCAAAAGGAAGGUGAUGGCUUCUCAGUGGUGUCGUGGACUCUUGUGAGCUCUCGCGUGGAAAAAAGGGCGCAGUAGGUGUAGCUUUUGUUAUUCCCGAAAGAAAGGGCGCUUCCUAGGUAAGAGCGCAGACCCGAGAAAGCAGACCCUCAAAAAGAGCGUUUGGUUGCAGGUUAGGGAAGGAGAUGAAGCAGAAGAAGCUGGAGAAGCACGCAAGAAACCUUAUAUUUUGCAGGGCCUCCCUGUCUACGGUCUGUGGUGAUAUGUUGCAGCAGCCGUAGAAAACAGUGCUAUUUCCGACAAGGAUAUGGUGAUGAACCAAACCGACGAAAAUGCCUGCCACGCGGACCACUGCCAUUCUGUGCCAGGUGCUGUCCUGUGCCCUUGAUGCGUAGUAUCCCUUUCGUUGUCGCAUAGAUCCUAGGAGACGGCUGCUAUUCGAACCCAAACCAAGUAACUCAGAGACCCUUUCUCUAAGCAUCAUAACCGUGUCCUGCCCGUGACCAAUUAGGCUGUCAGUGUGUGGCAGCUAUUGGGGGUGUGCCAGUGAUCUGCUCAUGUCAUUUCUGAUGCCACUGGCCAGCCGGGUGGAUCGGAUGACUCUGGGUGCCUGGGAGGCUGACCCCUUCUGUUCUCGCCACAGCAGGAGAAGGUCUUGCCCAGAGAGAGGAGGAACAUCCUUCAUUCAAGGGUUUAUGAGUAGCAUCCUCUGCCUGAAUGGCCUGCAUCAGCUCAGCUAAUUCAGAUUGUGGUGACUAAGUGGCAGGCACUUCUUCUGAGGACUUUAAGAACCGGGAUUUAUUUCAUCCUCAUGGUACCCUUAUGAGGUACAUACGUUCUGUUCUUCUCCUCAUGUCACAGAUGAGGAAACAGAGGCACAGAGAAGUUAAAUAACUUAUCAAAGGUCCCGAGACUUAUCAGGAGCCAAGAUUCAACCUCUCGACUGUUUUAAGGCUCAUUAAUACAACGGCUACAGUUUAUUGAGCAGCUACUAUGUGUCUGGCACUCUUCGUGUACGUGUCACAACAACCCUUCGAAUGAGGUACAAGUACUAUCUCUAUUUUAUGGAUGGUGAAACAGAGAGGAUCAAAACCCAGGCAGUGAGCCUGGAGCCCCUGUGCUCAUCAUUGUCCUAUUACUUGUAUCUUCUUCGUCCCAGGCACUGUACUAAGCCCCGAAGGUGGAGAAGUGAGUACGAUUCAGGCAAUAAAAGUAGUGGUCAAGAAGUCAGACUUUGGAGUCUCCGGAACCAUCUGGGUGAUCUUAGGCAAGUCACUUAACUGUUCUGAGACUCAGUUUUCUCAUCCAUAAAAUGGGAAUGGUACCAGGAUCUACCUCCGGGGCAUUAUGAGGGUUAUAUGAGACCCAGCACACGCAGUGCUUAGGCUCAGUGCUUGGCACAGCAUGAGUUGUCAGUACAUGUCAGCUGUUGUUAUACAGUUGUUGCUGUAAUAAGAAAGCUCAGUUCCUGCCCUUGCCUGAGAAGACCCAUGAGUGAUGUAGCCAUCACUGUUCCUCCCAUGUUCAUUCCAACGGUAAUUUAACAAACUUUGAACUAGGCUAAGUCUCUUUGCUCAACCCAAUGGCAGACUGAAGACAAAAUGAGGGAACUCAUGCUUCUCACUAGCUUCAAAGCCGCCCACCAUCUCUUUUUCCUCCUGGGAUGGGCUAGGACCUCUAGGAAGACCAGUCACCCUCCACCCUCCUGGAACACAGUGGAUGUACUUAAAGAAAGAAAAUACUGGAAAAUCCCACCAGAGCAUAUGACUGUGAAUUGAACACACAUAUGCUAGACUUACCUGGAAGUUUGCCAAGACCCCGUGAUGAAGACGGAGGGAGGAUAUUAAGCCUCCAACACAGAGGAGCCAUGGGAACCACCACUGACUGAGCCCUUCCAUCUUGGCUUCCCUGUUUCUGAACCAAGGCCUCGCUGGGGUCACCGGAGAGCUGCCCUACAGCUCCUUCUUGCUGGCUGAAGGAAACUUCUUCUACGGAAUGAUGGAAGAAAAGGAGACACAUUUUUAUUUCCUGCCUGCCAGAUUUAUCAACCCUAAAAAGUGACUUUGAUGCUGGCACAACCGGAUAUCCAUACACAUCACACUGUCUGCGAAAAUUAACUCAAAAUGGAUCAUAGACCUAAAUGUAAGUGCUAAAGCCAUCACAUUCAUAAAAGCAAACAGUAACAUAUCCUUGGGACCAUGGGUUAAGUAAUGAUUUCUUGGAUAUGACAUCAAAAGCAGAAGAAACAGAAGAAAAAUUACAUAAAGUAGACUUCAUCAAAAUCUUAAAACUUUUGUACUUCAAAUGGCAUCAUCAAGAAAAUAAAGAUCACCCACAAAAUGGGAGAAAACAUUGUAAAUCACAUACUUGAUAAGGCAUUUACAUCUAUAAUAUAUAAAGAACCCUCACAACUCAACAAUAAAAAGACAAAUACCCCAGUCUAAAAACGGGAAAAGAUUUGAGUAGGUAGUUCACCAAAGAAGAUAUACAGAUGGCCAAUAAGCACAUGGAAGGAUGUCUAACAUCAUUAGUUAUUAGGGAAAUGCAAAUCAAAAUCACAAGACACCACAUCAUUGUAUCCAGGAUGUCUAACAGAAAAACAUCAGACCAUAACAAAUUAGGAAGGAUGUGGAUAUACUGAAAUGCUCAUAUAUUUCUGGUGGAAACUAAAACGGUGCAGUCACUUUGAAAAGCAGCUUGGCAGUUUCUCUAAAUGUCAAAUGUACAGUUAUCAUAUGACACGGCAGUUUUGCUCCUAGGAAUAUACAUAAGAGGAAUGAAAACAUAGGUCCACAUAGAAACGGGUCCAUGAAUGUUCAUUCACAGCAGCAUUAUUCAUGACAACCAAAGAGAGUAAACAACCCAGAUGUCUAUCACCUGAUGCAUGGAUAGACAAAAUGUGGUCUAUUCAUAGAAGGGAACAUUAUUCGGCCACAAAAGAAAUGAAGUGUUGAUUCAUGCAACAAUACAAACAAACGUGAAAACAUUAUGCUGAGUGAAAGAAGUCUGUCACAGAACCCUCGUACACUGUGUGAUGCAAUUUAUAUGAAAUGUCUGGAACAGGGAGAUCCAUGGAAAUAGAAAGUAGACUUGUGGUUGCCUAGAAUUUGGGGUAGGGGUGUGGAAGGAGGAGUGAUAGCUAAUGGGGACAGGGUUCCUUUCAUGGGGCAAUGAAAAUGUUCUAAAAUUGGUGGUGAUUGUUACACAGCACUGAAUAUACUAAAAACCAUUGAGUUGUAUACUUUCAAUGAGUGAAUUUUAUGGUAUAUGGAUUAGAUCUCAAAAAAGUAUUGUUAAGAAGAAUGACUCUCAGUCCCCGAUUGUCCUUGAAGAGGCUGCUGGAGAUUUCUCCAUUUCUUACCUCACUACAGAUGAAUUGGGGAUCUGGCUGAAAACUUGUCUUUUCUGCCCGCUUUCUACUCCAAAGUUCAAGUUUUUUUCUAAAUUCUCCAACUUCUCUUCUGAUUCCAGGCCUAAGCACAGGGCUAUUUCUUUAUCUGGAUUUUGCCCAUUUCCCCUAGUUCCCUGCUGCCAUUCUUCAUGUAUCAGCCGAACCAGGGGUGGGUAGGGAUUUCAAGGUAGCAUUGGGUGUCCCUGGGGGUGUUCUAUUUUCUUACCACCAUUCCACUGAAGUGCGUUGGGGUGUUCCCUUUUCUUACCACCGUUCCACUGAAGUGUGUUGGUAUGUUCCCCGAGGACAGUUCCCUGAGGACAGUUGCCAACAUAGGCUUGGUUAUCACUGAAUGAAUGAAUAAAUAAACGAAUGAGUGAAGUGAAUACAUGCCGGAAAAAGAACAAGUGUCUAUACAGAAUGGAAAGAUACAGAGAAGAUAGAACAGGGAAAAGGAAGAAGGGAGGAUUUGGAUGAAAGGUAUAUUACCAUGUACCCCUUUUUUUUCCUAUUUCUUGAGAAAUGUGGAUUUCCCUACAGCCACUUUGACCAUGUGAACCUCUCACAUUCUAUAAUGGCUUCUCAUUUUCCUGUGAAUCAAACCAAAACCUUAGGCCUGUCAAAGAACACCCAAAACCUUGUUUUUCUACUCUUUGGCUCAAGAAAUACCAAGUUGGGAACCUAGCCAAAGAAAACAUCAUUAACAAGCAUUUGAAUCCAGAGUGGGGAGAGGGGUGAACUCUGGAAACACGUGCACAAAGUUACCGAUCUGGCAUGAUUUCUAAUAGUCAGAAAUUGGAAACAACCUAAAUGUCCAGUGGUAGGAUAGCAUACAUCAUGCCAUGUCCCAAAGAUGAAAUAAUGUGCUCCCAUUAGAAGAAUUUAGUAGUUUGGGGCACCUGGCUGGCUCAGUAGGUUAAGCAUCUGACACUAGAUUUCAGCUCAGGCCAUCAUGGUUUUGAGCUGCCAGUGGGGAGCCUGCGUGGAAUUCUCUCUUUCCCUCUCUUUUCCUCCCCCGCUUGCGAGCACAUGAUCUCUCUCUCUCUCUCUCAAAUAAAUGAACUUAAAAAAAACAGAAUUUAGUAGUUUGAGAAAAUACUUGUAUCCUAUAUUAAAUGAAAGAAGCAGGUUAUAAACUGGUAGGUAGGUUAUAAACUAACUGCUACUAUAUAAUUUGUGUACAAAACUAUUUUAACUUUUUUUAAUGUUUAUUUAUUUUUGAGAGACAGAGAGAGCCAGAGUGCGAGCAGGGGAGGGGCAGAGAGAGACAGGGGGACACAGAAUCAGAAGCAGGCUCCAGGCUCCGAGCUGUCAGCACAGAGCCUGAUGUGGGGCUCGAACUCACGAACGGUGAGAUCAUGACCUGAGCCGAAGUUGGAAGCUUAACUGACUGGGCCACCCAGGCACCCCUGUACCAAAAUAUUUUAUUUAAUUAAUUAAUUUUUUAAAAUGUUUAUUUUUGAGACAGAGCAUGAGUGGGGGAGGGGCAGAGAGAGAGAGGGAGACAUAGAAUCCGAAGCAGGCUCCAGGCUCUGAGCUGUCAGCACAGAGUCUGGCAUGGGUCUCGAACUCACAAACCAUGAGAUCGUGACCUGAGCUGAAGUCAGAUGCUUGAUCGACUGAGCCACCCAGGUGCCCCUGCACAAAAAUAUUUUAAGUAUUGAAAAACAAAACCACAGCAGAAUGAUUUCAGGGGUUUUCCUUUGACAGUGGGACUACGGGUGUCUUUCUCAUUCCUUCUUCAAUGUAACCAGGUGUUCCACGAUGGACACAUGUGACUUUUAUAACCAGAGAAAAAUAUUCACCUAAUUCUCUCACUCUUUCAACUGCUCUUUUUUGGGGAAUUCACUCUCCGAGUGCUUUGUUCACCCAUCUCCAACUCUUUUCCUGCGCACACCCCUCUGCCUGCAAGGACAGCUGUCUGCCACGAGCUCCCUCCAAACACUCCGCUCCUGAAGGCGCCCGGCUCCGGGAAGCCUUGCCUGAGCACCAAGAGGAAAGAAGCCUGGCCCAUCCCCACCUCGCCCAAGCAUGGUGCCUCCAUGUCUCUCUCUGCUCGCCUUGUCCAAGAAAAUCCUCAGCCUCUUUGCUGGUGCUUGCCCUCAAGAGACUGUUUCCCGAUGUGCCCCAACAGCUGGUACAGCCAACUGUUUGUGCGUCUGCACCUGGCGGCUGAGCUAAACGCCUAGAAGGAAGUUGAGGUAGAGGCCACAGGCCUCAUGAGCGUUGGACAAUGAGGAAGGUGGUAAUGACUCUUCUGCAUGUCCUGAUUUGCCAAGGGGAAGACUUCUCUUGGCCAUUUAAAAACCACCCAGUCUUUAAACAACUUAAGAAGUGAUCAAAGGUGUUUGUGCUUAACCUGGACCAGCAACCCUUCCUAAUGGUGUCAGCCCCACGCUGGGGAACUUUGGUUGGGAGGAAAUGAAUGUGAACCAGUAACGCGGAUGUAGCUCGAAAGCGCGAAGAUUUCUCGUGAGUUGAUUCGUCCAAGUAUACACCCAGCUUAUUCCUGAAUUGGAAUCAAAGUAGAAAAACCUUUGAAGGAAAAAGUCAGUGGGUCUGCAAACAUCUGAGGGCUUACCCAGUACCCGACACAUCUCAGGGCACUUGUGAAAUGCUGUGGCUUUAUCAAAGCAACAAACAAAUCUGAGUGAUUGUUCCUGUAAAACUUCCUGGUCAUGCGUUACACCCACAUGAAGCAUAACAAGGAAGGCUCAGAGGAUAAGACGGACCGCCUCGUGGCACCUUCAAGAAAGGUGCGUGCAUCUUAGCUCCUGUGACAUUUUGAGCUAAUUACCCUGGCCUGUGUAUGAAACACAAUGGAGUUAAGGAUCAAGAUAAAUCGGGUAUCCUGCCACUGACCUGUGAUGUUUUUGAAACUGGGGGAAAAAAGAUUUGGUGCGCCAGCCUUCCUCAUCAGUCUGGUAUCUCACCUGUCAUCUUGAACAAGGUAAACAAACCACGGACAUAUUUUUCUUCCCCGCAGAACUGCACCCUUUUUCGUGAGUAGGUCUGGAUACUGUUUGGCAACUGGCAUUGAGCAGAGUGGGGGUGGGGAAGCGCUUUUUAAUUCCACCCUCUUCUCAAAUAUCUGAAGUAGAAUAAUGAGUAGGUGAGUGUCACAUCUGUCGACUCUUUUCCGUUCGUGCCAUCUGAAUGCAGACCUCAGUCGUACUGGUCUCAGGCCACCAUGGCUGGCAUUUCCUCCCAGCCCAUCUCAUGAAGGCUGGAGGUGCUGGGAUCUCCAAAGGAAGCGUAGAUGGUCUUCAUUCUGCCAUCUCCAGGGGUCACAUUUCUGUUUAAUGGGAUCUAUGAGCUGAGGGUGAAAUGGAAAGACUGGGGUGGUGGAGGGGAUUUGAGGAACCAACAGGGAAAGAGAGAGAGGAGGGGGUCAGGGAUGGCAGGGCAGGAACCUGUGUGUCGUCAUUGGGGUCCAUGUGAACUGUCUUCCUCAUCUUCCCAGGAGAACAUUAGUAAAGUAUCCGUUUCUUGUUGGUACAUUAUCGACCGACAAUCUGUGUGUUGAAGGAAUUCACUCAUGCAAUCACUCAACAAAUAUUUAUUAUUGAGAGCCUGUGAGGCACCAGGCAGUGUUCUAGGUGCCGAGGAUACAGUAGUGAACAAAACACACCCAACAUAGAACAAUGUGGAUGAAUCUGCAAGCGAUUCUGUGGAGAAGAGUCAACCUCCCACAGUUAAUACUGGUGAUUCCAUUGAUACAGCAGUUUUCAAAUGAUAAAAUUUUAGAAAUGGUGGUUGCCAUGGGUUAGGGAUGGGGGAAGGUCAUGGUGGGAGACAGGUAGGUAUAGUGAUAAGAAAGCACCCCACGGAAUCCUUGUGUUGAUGUGCCAUUUGGUAUCUUGAUCAUGGUGGUGGAAUAAGGAAUCUACACACAUGAUAAAAUUGCGUAGAACUAAGCAUGCACACCAACGAAUACAAAUAAAACUGGGGGGAUCUGAAAAAGAUCUAUGGACUGAAUCAAUGUCAUAUCCUGGUUGUGAUAACUAUACUAUAAUGUUACCAUUGGAAAAAAUGGGUAAAGUCCA